ACCUGGAUGGCUUAGUUGGUUAAGUGUCUGACUUUGACUCAGGUCAUGAUCUCCGGGUC
rnacentral:tRNA from 1 species